GACGAACGCUGGCGGCGCGCCUAACACAUGCAAGUCGAACGGAGUCAAGAGGAGCUUGCUUUUCUUGACUUAGUGGCGAACGGGUGAGUAACGCGUGAGUAACCUGCCCUGGAGUGGGGGACAACAGUUGGAAACGACUGCUAAUACCGCAUAAGCCCACGGAUCCGCAUGGAUCUGCGGGAAAAGGAUUUAUUCGCUUCAGGAUGGACUCGCGUCCAAUUAGCUAGUUGGUGGGGUAACGGCCCACCAAGGCGACGAUUGGUAGCCGGACUGAGAGGUUGAACGGCCACAUUGGGACUGAGACACGGCCCAGACUCCUACGGGAGGCAGCAGUGGGGGAUAUUGCACAAUGGGGGAAACCCUGAUGCAGCGACGCCGCGUGGAGGAAGAAGGUUUUCGGAUUGUAAACUCCUGUCGUUAGGGACGAUAAUGACGGUACCUAACAAGAAAGCACCGGCUAACUACGUG
rnacentral:rRNA from 1 species